AAUAUACACACAUACACACAUACAUAUAUAUAUAUAUAUAUAUAUAUAUAUAUAUACUAAUUAACUAUACGUAUAUAUUGAUAGUGAUAUAUUGUGCACCGUUCUUUCACAUUUGCAGAUAUGCAUAUGAUUAUAUUAAUAUAAUUGCUUUAGUUUUUUCAGCAAAUGCAAAGUGAAUUUCUUUCUAAGACAUGUAUGUGCACAUAAAAAAAAACUAAACAUGCAAUUUUGUUUAUAACGAAAAAAAUUUUUUUAUGAUUGUAGAAUUUAACAAUAUUAAGUCUUAGAUAUUUACAUAUUUUCAUCGACAAAGCUGUAUGCUCCUAAAUUAUACUUUGUUAGAAAAAAGAUUAUGUGGACAACAUUCAAAAAGAGCACAAUUUAAAUUAUGGCAAACUCAUUGUAUAGCUCUAUAAUGAUGAGAGGACACAUAUAUGUCAUAAAGAGAGUAUGGUGAUUUUCAAAAAACUUUAAAAAUGUGAAAGAUCUGGUUUAGAGAGUAUAUUUGAUAUGGCAAACAUGUAUAAUUAAGCGUUUCGAUACUUAUUUCUGUAGAUUUCUCUUUAGUGUGACAUAACAUUUAGUAAGUGAUUGUGCAGUAAAUAAUCCGUGAAUAGUUACGAGUUCCUCAAGUUUGGACUGUGCCGAAAAGUGCAGACAGUGAGGAAAAGGAGUAAAUCCAGGAAGAGACAGAAAUUUGUUUAUCGUAAAACGAAGUUUACCCUAUCUGUGUUUCCAUAAUGUCAACGAGAGUUUAUUCCUUUUUAAGUGAGGACUGAUUUUUUUAAAGGACAGUGUUUGGGUGGUGACAUCAAAAGAAAAAGGCGCUAUAAACAUGUGUACAGUGAAAUGUAAAGAAAAAAAAAGUGAUUGUGUUCCACAUUCGAGUAUGGGGAGCGCUUUGUGAAUACAUAUCUGGAAUGUAUAUUUUUAUAUUCAUUCCAGAGAUGGAGGGAAAAGAAAGAUGAUUUUCGCCAUACUUGAUUGUGACUGAAGGUGCAGUGGUUAAGUAUGCUUAGUGUUUGAACGGAAAAAUAGAUGCAGUUUAUGUAGAGAAAAAAAAAUUACAAAAUGUGUCAAUUUUUCUUAGCACCGUUUUUCUUCACCUUAAUCAAAAUUCGAAAAUUCUCAGGAACUCGAUAAUGUUUACAGUGAUACGCAUUCUAAAUGUCGCUAUUCGUGAGGAAAGUAAAGAUUUAGACAGAUUAGGGCCGUUAAAAAUAUCGGAUGUUUGAUGGAUAAGAAGUUGACGUCGAAACUCUUCAAUUAAAAUGCAUGCAUGUGGCCGACAAAUUAAGUAGACUGCUUUUGAUAUUCUCAAGAGUUUUGUACUCGGUAUAUAUAGAAUUUGGUUUUUCUUGCUUUUGUUAAGUGAAGUUUAUCGUGCAACAAUAUAGUGCUGUGAUAUUUUGAGCAACGAUUAGAGCAAUGACAAUCGGGAACAAUCGCGAAAUUGUAGAUUGUAGAUUUCAAGUGCUUGUGUUGGCUAAGAAUUAAUUUCCUCCUCCGUUUGCGAAGGAAGGAAGGAAGACUGUCAAGUCAUUUAUGUAUAUUGUCGGCCAUAACAAGAGAGAAAGAAAAGAGAUUGCCACUGUGACAUUGGUGAAAUUUUCUGUGGUUUGUGGAUUUUCAAAGAGAGAGAGAGAGAAGAGCAAUUAAAGUCGCAAAUUAACUUUCUAAACGCGUUAUUCGAAAUUUUGGUUCAGAAUUUUUGUUCAACGAAAAGUAGUCGUGUCGCCUGCAACAUAUCGAGUACAAAAUUGUGCAUCUGAGACGAAAUAGUAUCGCAGAGAGAGAACUUUAAAGAGAAAAAAAAAAAAGAAAAGGAAAACUGUAGGAAAAAAAAGACAGUGGUUUCGUUGUCUCGGGCAAUAUAAAAUUUUUCAAUCUUGUGUGCGGGUAGAUCAAAAAUCGGCCCAAAGGAAAGGAAGACAGAUAACGUUCGCGGAGAAACGUCCGAUUGCUGUAUUAAAAUUUGCAAAAAUAAAUUACACAGAUACGGUUAUAUAUGAGAUAAUUAUGCUCAUCUUUUUCUUUCGCGGAUGUUUUGCACAAGUCUCGAAUUUACAUCGCAAUCUUUAAUAUGCUUGUGCCCUAAAUAUAUUCUCUUCCACUCAAAUAUAUUCAUCAAUUCUUUACUUUGGCGAAAAAUGAAAUUGCAAAACGUUUUUAUAACAUAACCUAUUCUGAUCUAACCUAUAACCUACAUAAGGUACUACACGAACGUUAUAACGAUUAUUGACGUGCAAACGUAAUUAAAUUAUACUUGAUUAUACAAUUGGUUCUUGAUUAAAUAUUGAUUUUGAUCGAUCGAGGUAGAAAAUAAACAAUCCAAGUAGUUUGACACGACCUAUAAUUAAAGGUAAAAUAUAUAGUGAUAUUCAAGGGACCAAAAAUACGCAUUUCCCUUUUUUAUACAAAAUAAAUCUGUUUGUUUUAAUUACAAUUUUUCUCCACUUAAUUUCUUUUUUUAUUCGAGAAAUUUUAAUCUAUAUACAUAUGUAUAUAUCCACUUUAAGCGUAGAAAGUGCAGAAAAUAUCAAAGGAAUAGCUGUAUCGUCACGCAAUUUUUUUACGCAUGUUUUGCGCAAAAGUUUCUCUCGACAAAUAUUGUACAAAAUUUAAAUUAAACCAAGAAUUUAGACAUUUUCUUGUGAUACCGCAAAAAGUUUGAAAAAUUAUUAUUAAUUUUCUCGUAAAAAAAAAAAAACCUCAGUGCAGUAAUUAUAUCAGAUAACGUACGAAAGACACGUAUGUGUGCCAAAAAUAUUUUAUAUUUUUUCGGAAAAGAAGAUGUGUGUAAACGAUAUCUUUAUUUUAGACAUUUUAUUGGAUAGUGUAUAUUAUGUUGAGUUUUUACAAUCUUUCAUAGAUGAAAUAAAUCAUCGUUAAAUCUCUGUGAUUGAAAAAUAAUUUAAGCUUAUCUCUUUAUUAAAAGAAAGAUCGUUUUCAUUAAAUCUUAAUAACAACAAUAUAAUAUUUGACGUGCACCCUAUUAUUAAUAACGGGAAGAGACGCAGAAUGUGUAAAUGGGAAAUUACGCGCGUGGAGAAGAAAUUAUGCGUAUAUAUGCGGCAUGUUCUGCUGCUUUUUCUGCGAUACGUAAUAAAAAUACAUACUUUCGGCAAACUUGCUUUUAAACAUCGAUCGUGCAAGAUUGUUUGUCGAGAAGAGUAAAGCUAUAAUAUAUAUGAUUGGCUGAUUCUUUUUUAUUUAUAUAAUAUAUAUAUAAUUUACCGCUCCCGUCUGUGUAAUAUUAAUUGCACAUAACAAAUCCUGAAUGUUUUGACGAAACUUAUAUUUAAUCUAAAAAUCUAGUUAUGCUGAACAAUAAAGUAUACGGAAAGAAACUAUGAACGGUUUUUCAUCGUAAUCAAAUAUCUAUUAUUCUUAUAGUGUGCUCUCCAGUCUUACAAGGGCAUAUACCAGUCUAUUUUUUUUUUACUUUGGAGCAUUUUAAUUAGCAGAAAGAAUUAGCAUAGAAUUUUAAUUAGCCACAAAUGUAUCUAAUAUUAAAAAGUUGAGAGGAAA